GUGGGGAAUAUUGGACAAUGGGCGCAAGCCUGAUCCAGCCAUGCCGCGUGAGUGAUGAAGGCCUUAGGGUUGUAAAGCUCUUUCAGUAGGGAAGAUAAUGACGGUACCUACAGAAGAAGCCCCGGCUAACUUCGUGCCAGCAGCCGCGGUAAUACGAAGGGGGCUAGCGUUGUUCGGAUUUACUGGGCGUAAAGCGCACGUAGGCGGAAUGUUAAGUCAGAGGUGAAAUCCUGGAGCUCAACUCCAGAACUGCCUUUGAUACUGGCAAUCUCGAGUCCGGAAGAGGUGAGUGGAACUCCUAGUGUAGAGGUGGAAUUCGUAGAUAUUAGGAAGAACACCAGUGGCGAAGGCGGCUCACUGGUCCGGUACUGACGCUGAGGUGCGAAAGCGUGGGGAGCAAACAGGAUUAGAUACCCUAGUAGUCC
rnacentral:rRNA from 1 species